GAUGAACGCUGACAGAAUGCUUAACACAUGCAAGUCUUUGGCGAAGCUGUGCUUGCACAGCCUAGCCAAGGCGGACGGGUGAGUAACGCGUAAGGGACUUGCCCUGCAGUCAGGGAUAACAGACGGAAACGACUGAUAAAACCUGGUAAAGUCAGGCGGACUCAUGUCCAGCCUGAUGAAAAGGAAUGCUGCAGGAGAGCCUUGCGUCCUAUUAGCUUGUUGGUGGGGUAACGGCCCACCAAGGCGAUGAUAGGUAGCCGGCCUGAGAGGGUGGACGGCCACAAGGGGACUGAGAUACGGCCCUUACUCCUACGGGAGGCAGCAGUGGGGAAUAUUGGACAAUGGGGGCAACCCUGAUCCAGCAAUUCUGUGUGCACGAUGAAGGUCUUCGGAUUGUAAAGUGCUUUCAGCAGGGAAGAAAAAAAUGACGGUACCUGCAGAAGAAGCGACGGCUAAAUACGUGCCAGCAGCCGCGGUAAUACGUAUGUCGCGAGCGUUAUCCGGAAUUAUUGGGCAUAAAGGGCAUCUAGGCGGCCGGAUAAGUCUGGGGUGAAAACUUGCGGCUCAACCGCAAGCCUGCCCUGGAAACUAUGCGGCUAGAGUGCUGGAGAGGUGGACGGAACUGCACGAGUAGAGGUGAAAUUCGUAGAUAUGUGCAGGAAUGCCGAUGAUGAAGAUAGUUCACUGGGCGGCAACUGACGCUGAAGUGCGAAAGCUAGGGGAGCAAACAGG
rnacentral:rRNA from 1 species